rnacentral:rRNA from 1 species
CCUACGGGGGGCAGCAGUGGGGAAUAUUGCGCAAUGGGCGAAAGCCUGACGCAGCGACGCCGCGUGAGGGAUGAAGGUCUUCGGAUUGUAAACCUCUGUCAGCAGGGAAGAACGGUCACUGUGCUAAUCAGCAGUGAAUUGACGGUACCUGCAAAGGAAGCACCGGCUAAAUCCGUGCCAGCAGCCGCGGUAAUACGGAGGGUGCGAGCGUUAAUCGGAAUUACUGGGCGGAAAGCGCUCGUAGGCGGUAUGUCAAGUCAAGGGUGAAAUCCCCGGGCUCAACGUGGGAACUGCCUUUGAAACUGGCAAGCUGGAGUGUGUGAGAGGAUAGUGGAAUUCCAGGUGUAGGGGUGAAAUCCGUAGAUAUCUGGAGGAACAUCAGUGGCGAAGGCGACUAUCUGGCACAUAACUGACGCUGAGGAGCGAAAGCGUGGGUAGCAAACAGGAUUAGAUACCCCGGUAGUC